rnacentral:rRNA from 1 species
AGGACGAACGCUGGCGGCGUGCUUAACACAUGCAAGUCGAGCGGAAAGGCCCUUCGGGGUACUCGAGCGGCGAACGGGUGAGUAACACGUGAGCAAUCUGCCUCUAGCUCUGGGAUAGCUCCGGGAAACCGGGAUUAAUACCGGAUAGGACCACUUUAGACAUCUGUUGUGGUGGAAAGAAUUUCGGCUAGAGAUGAGCUCGCGGCCUAUCAGCUUGUUGGUGGGGUAAUGGCCUACCAAGGCGACGACGGGUA